UCUGAGGAAGUGCAGAAUUAGCAAAUCCAGGGCAUUUGCUCUCCUGAGUAAUGUGCUUUAUCUGAUAAUGAAAGUUAAGAAACAGAACCCCAUACCAGGAGCCUGUCAGGUUAUUUAAACACAUGAAGGGAGGUUAUUGGUGUAGACUUGAAGAUUAAAGUAAGAUAAUGUGGUUUAAGUAUCAAGGAAGAUGAAGCAUGUCUUGGGUAAUCCUAAGAGAUUGAGGAACAGAUAUGCUGCAAGAGUUGAUCUUAGUGCCUUUUUUCAAUACAGAAGCCUAGCGUUUUGAAAACUCACUGGACACCAAAAAAGGAAGAAUGCCAACUACUUAAGCAGGAAGGUGAAAGAUUCCAAACGAACAACAGGAAACACUUCAUCUCACCAGUGGUAAGAAUCUGGAAUCUGUUCCCUCGUGAAGCUAGGCCAAAGACAUUAAUAUGUUCAAGAAGGAUUUGAAUGAGUUGGUGGACAAAAAAAAAGCCUAACAACUCGGAUCAUUAUUUUACUUGGCCACAGCGCUCCUCUGGAAUGUUAUCCUAUCAGACUUUCACUGUCACCUCAUCCUCCGUGAGUCUUCUUUUAAGCUCUCAGUAGAGUGUGUUGUUUUGAAGCACUUUUGAUUCACAAUCAACAACGUGGGCCUAAUACAGGACUUUGGUGUGAUGGCUGCAUGUUGAACUUAAUUCACAGCCUAGUUAGUGUUAGCUAAAUGUAAGAACAAUUGACAAUCCAUUUAUCCUUUAGAAACACUUAUUUUGUGUUUCUCUUAGGAAAGACAAAAUCUCAGGAAUUCAUGACCAUCUUCUGUUCUAUCUUCCCUGAUUAAGCCCUUUUUUCUCUGACUUCCUCUCCCUUCUGCACUAUGUACUUGGAUCUAUAACUCUUUGGGCACUUGCUAUUUACCAUCUCUUUGGCCCCACAGAACUAAG